UACGUAGGGCGCAAGCGUUGUCCGGAAUUAUUGGGCGUAAAGAGCUCGUAGGCGGCUUGUCACGUCGGGUGUGAAAGCCCGGGGCUUAACCCCGGGUCUGCAUUCGAUACGGGCUAGCUAGAGUGUGGUAGGGGAGAUCGGAAUUCCUGGUGUAGCGGUGAAAUGCGCAGAUAUCAGGAGGAACACCGGUGGCGAAGGCGGGUCUCUGGGCCGAAACUGACGCUGAGGAGCGAAAGCGUGGGGAGCGAACAGG
rnacentral:rRNA from 1 species